CUAGUAGUACGGAAUAAUUGUUGGAAACGGCAACUAAUACCGCAUACGCCCUACGGGGGAAAAAUUUAUUGCUAUUAGAUGAGCCUAUAUUAGAUUCGCUAGUUGGUGGAGUAAUAGCCUACCAAGGCAAUGAUCUAUAGCUGAUCUGAGAGGAUGAUCAUCCACACUGGAACUGAGAUACGGUCCAGACUCCUACGGGAGG
rnacentral:rRNA from 1 species